GACGAACGGCUGGCGGCGUGCCUAACACAUGCAAGUCGAGCGGAGUCGAUCGACGGAAGCCUUCGGGCGGAAGAUGGUUGACUUAGCGGCGGAUGGGUGAGUAACGCGUGGGCAACCUGCCUCGAAGACCGGGAUAACAGCCCGAAAGGGCUGCUAAUACCGGAUGUGGUCAAGGAUCCGCAUGGAUUUUGAUUAAAGGGGAAACCCGUUUCGAGAUGGGCCCCGCGUCCUAUCAGCUAGUUGGUGAGGUAAAAGCUCACCAAGGCGACGACGGGUAGCCGGCCUGAGAGGGUGACCGGCCACACUGGAACUGAGACACGGUCCAGACUCCUACGGGGGGCAGCAGUGGGGAAUCUUCCACAAUGGGCGAAAGCCUGAUGGAGCGACGCCGCGUGAGCGAAGAAGGCCUUCGGGUUGUAAAGCUCUGUCUGGAGGGACGAAGGAAGUGACGGUACCUCCGGAGGAAGCCACGGCUAACUACGUG
rnacentral:rRNA from 1 species